ACCCAAGGGGUCUCUCUCUCAUUUUAAGGCAGCCUCAAGGGGUCUCUCUCUUUCUCUCAAGUUAGGGCAGCCCCAAGGGGUCCCUCUCUUUCUCUCAAUUUGGGGCAGCCCAAAGAUAAAUGAUUCACGAAGACAGAGGGGUUCAGCCAGUGAAGAGAUUGUUUUGAAGAGAGGAAGAUUCGGUCCGAGAUUAUUAACACUUGAGCAUCAAGGGAAGUGCCAAAAUUGCUGCAUUCAAAUCAAUAAAUAUAAAUGUGUUUUUAAAUUUCAGUUUAUGGAAUGAACAAUGCAAUCGGUCGUUUCAAGAUGAAGUUCAAUGGUAAAAUAUAGUGCAAUAAUGUUCACUUCUUGUGGGGAUGUCUUUUGUUGUAGGAUUCUUAAUUCGUUUACUUCUAUGUCAUAGAUUCAUAGUCU